rnacentral:rRNA from 1 species
ACCGCGGUUAUACGAGAGGCUCAAGUUGACUAACAUUCGGCGUAAAGCGUGGUUAAAGGCCUUAAACACUAAAGCUAAAUGCUCUCCUAACUGUUAUACGCUAUCGAGAACAAGAAGCCCCCCUACGAAAGUGACUUUAUUUAUCUUGAACCCACGAGAACUGUGGC